UACGUAGGGACCGAGCGUUGUCCGGAUUCAUUGGGCGUAAAGCGCGUGUAGGCGGCUCGGUAAGUCUGCUGUGAAAGUCCAGGGCUCAACCCUGGGAUGCCGGUGGAUACUGUCGAGCUCGAGUCCGGAAGAGGCGAGUGGAAUUCCUGGUGUAGCGGUGAAAUGCGCAGAUAUCAGGAAGAACACCCGUGGCGAAAGCGGCUCUCUGGGACGGUACUGACGCUGAGACGCGAAAGCGUGGGGAGCGAACAGG
rnacentral:rRNA from 1 species